UACGGGAGGCAGCAGUGGGGAAUAUUGCACAAUGGACACAAGCCUGAUGCAGCGACGCCGCGUGAAGGAUGGAGGCCUUCGGUUGUGAACCUCUUUCGCCAGUGAAGAAGGUCCUGCUCUUUGUGGUGGGGUUGACGGUAGCUGGGUUAAUGAAGCGCCGGCUAACUACGUGCCAGCAGCCGCGGUAAU
rnacentral:rRNA from 1 species